CCUACGGGCGGCAGCAGUAGGGAAUCUUUCACAAUGGGCGAAAGCCUGAUGGAGCAACGCCGCGUGCAGGAUGAAGGCCUUCGGGUUGUAAACUGCUUUUAUAAGCGAGAAAUAUGAUGGUAACUUAUGAAUAAGGAUCGGCUAACUACGUGCCAGCAGCCGCGGUCAUACGUAGGAUCCGAGCAUUAUCCGGAGUGACUGGGUGUAAAGAGUUGCGUAGGUGGCAUAAUAAGUAGCUAGUGAAAUCUGGUGGCUCAACCAUUCAGACGAUUAGCUAAACUGUUAAGCUCGAGACCGUUAGGGGUAACUGGAAUUUCUAGUGUAGGAGUGAAAUGCGUAGAUAUUAGAAAGAACACCAAUAGCGUAGGCAGGUUACUGGGACGGUUCUGACACUAAGGCACGAAAGCGUAGGGAGCAAACGGGAUUAGAUACCCUUGUAGUC
rnacentral:rRNA from 1 species